UGUCAUAUUCUAUAGUCCCGUUCUAGUCCCAAAAUUGCUAGAUAGCCUAAGUGGCUGGCUAAUUAAAAUCUUAUCAGCCGGGCAAGGCAUCGGGAAUUUCCUUGUGAGGGUUUAUUAGUUGGUAUUCAUAUUGAUAUUACGUAAUUACACUGGCUACCUUACUGAAGACCGGUUUGGAUGUCGACAGCUUUUUUCAAAUAUAGUUGUAGCGCCUAGACAGACGGUGAUGGUACGAGAAAGGCGAGCCGUGCCAAAUUUGGCGAUCAUAUUUCAUUUUCCGACAAACUGAGAGAGAUUUCAGGCUUAUAGAAGGGAAAAACGGCACCCCAUACCUCCGCCACACCUAAGUCGCACCACUCAUAAUAUUGACAGAUUAUUAGUCAAUUAGUUAAUAAGAAUCAAAUCAUUUAAGAGAAUAAAGGGAAACAGAAUUUUCCAAACAUAAUAGUAUGUAUACUAUUUACUUUCUACUAUUUAACCUUGAUUUUUUGUCUCUUUAACGUUUAAAAAAAUUCCCGAAGGACAUUACCGAAGGAAUCUUGUUAUGCUUGGUUAAAAAUAAAUAAAUAAAAUAAUGCUAACUGGUACAAAAAAAUCAAAAAAAUCAAUUUAAAAUUAAGGGUACCCUUAGAUGUAUUAUGUAUGUAUAUAUAUUAUUAUGUAUUUUAUUUUAUUUAAAAAAUCAGCAUAGGACUAUUGUGACAUAAACGAACCUCGAUAUCCAUACGUUCGUUUGUAUUUUCAAAAAUAUUACGGAAAUUAAACACCCGCGGAUGUUUCAUUUUCGUUUUUCGCACUAUCCGGUCAAACCCGUGUAAAAAAAAACGUCCACUUAGCUGAAUACAGCCUAAAAUCCGCCUAAAAUGAUUUGUUUAUUUUUGCAUUUGCAAUCGUAGAAUCCCAAUUUUGUCACGGAUCUUUGAAACCAUUUCCUCUUCGUCCAAUAAAAUAAUGACCAUACUUGCACUACUACCUAUUAGUUCACUUAACUUAU